UCUCCGUUGGUGAACCAGCGGAGGGAUCAUUACAGAGUUUUCACAACUCCCAACCCUUGCGAACCGUACCCAUUCUGUUCUCGAUGCUUCCGGCCAGGGUGACCGGGGUGCCCGAAACGGCCCCCCCCCCCCGACCGCCGGGGACCGCGGGCACUACGAACCUUUUUAAAUCAACCACCAAAAACCAAAAGCGAAAACAAACAAAAUAAUCAACACUUUCAACAACGGAUCACUUAGCUCUGGCAUCGAGGAAAAACGCAGACGAUCGGAAGAAAACAC
rnacentral:misc_RNA from 1 species